UACGGAGGGGGCAAGCGUUGUUCGGAAUUACUGGGCGUAAAGAGCGCGCAGGCGGUCGUACAAGUCGCGUGUGAAAGCCCCCGGCUCAACUGGGGAGGGUCACGCGAUACUGAUCGACUCGAAGGCAGGAGAGGGAAGUGGAAUUCCCGGUGUAGUGGUGAAAUGCGUAGAUAUCGGGAGGAACACCAGUGGCGAAGGCGACUUCCUGGCCUGUUCUUGACGCUGAGGCGCGAAAGCUAGGGGAGCAAACGGG
rnacentral:rRNA from 1 species